UUUUAGCCCCGAUUGAAGUGAAAAUAAAAAAUGCUUCCAUGGUUUGGAAGCAUUUUUUAUUGUAACGAAAAGCGGGAAAACGG
rnacentral:sRNA from 1 species